GGAAAGGUGGCAGAGCGGUUGAAUGCAUCGGUUUUGAAAACCGACGUAGUUGUGAGACUACCGGGGGUUCGAAUCCCCCCCUUUCCG
rnacentral:tRNA from 3 species